rnacentral:lncRNA from 1 species
GUUAUCAGGUCCAAAGCUCUCAUUUUAUACUCAGCACCAUGCUUUUAAGGGAAGUGUGAUAAACAUCUGUUUUUUCCCUAUUAGCUCCUUCUUUUUCCUUAACAGGCUCCAGACUCUUUCCAGUGGCUGAGAAAAUCCCAGUCCCAUUGAAUUAGAAUCUCCAGGAAGAUCCUGUGAAACUGCUCCAACCUCACCUGAAGUCAACCCUAAGGCUAGGGUUUUCAGGUACAUGACGAAAUUCCCUUUAUAGUUUAAGAGAAUUUGAGGCCAACUGAAUUUGUUCCCUUUUAUUUUUUAUUUCAGUCUUUACUUUGCAGUUAAGUAACCUGAGCUUUUAUGGGAUAUUUUAUUUACAUACCUCUGAAGAUGUUCAAAGGACAACCUCUGUGAGUAUUUAUUGGAAGAAAAACAUUGAUAAAACUCCUCCCUCUGACCUGCCUUUCUUUCAUUACAUAAACCCUCAGACACUUUUUGAAGAAGAGGAAAUCUCCCUAUGGUGUUCCAUUGCACUCAUAGAAAUUUGGAUCCUCAGAACUCUCUCCAAAAUGUACUUCAGUGCUGCAAAUCACCGUAUACCUCUAAGUGAUGGAAACAGCAUUCCUAUCAUCGGUAUUGGAACCUACUCAGAACCUAAACUGUGCUGAUGUGUGCAAGGAGUGCCCUGCCACGCAGGGGUAUCCCCCGUGUAGGGGAGCCCCAUGUGCAAGGAGUGCGCCCCAUAAGGAGAGAUGCCCAGCGUGAAAGAAAGUGCAGCCUGCCCAAGAAUGGCACUGUCCACACAGAGAGCUGACACAACAAGAUAACACAACAAAAAGAAACACAGAUUCCCAGUGCCACUGAUGAGGAUAGAAGCAGUCACAGAAGAACACACAGCGAAUGGACACAGAGAGCCGACAACUGGAGG